CAUAGCGACUAUCGUGGCAUAUCAAUAAGCGGAGGAAAAGAAACUAACAAGGAUUCCCUUAGUAACGGCGAGUGAAGCGGGAAGAGCUCAAAUUUGAAAUCUUCAAGGUUCUACCUUGACGAAUUGUAGUUUAUAGAAGUGUUUUCUGUUAGUAGAGUGGCAAAAGUUCUUUGGAAUAGGACAUCAUAGAGGGUGAGAAUCCCGUAUUUGGUCAUUCUCUCAUAGCUUUGUGAUACACUUUCAACGAGUCGGAUUGUUUGGGAAUGCAGUCCAAAAUGGGUGGUAAAUUUCAUCUAAAGCUAAAUAUUGGCGAGAGACCGAUAGCGAACAAGUACCGUGAGGGAAAGAUGAAAAGAACUUUGAAAAGAGAGUUAAACAGUACGUGAAAUUGUCAAAAGGGAAGCGUUUGACACCAGUGUUGUUUUUCCGAAAAUCAAUUACGAAUGUUUUGUUUUUGAGAAGUUAUGACUUCAUCGGCUUGCUCCUUUCUUUAUGAAACUUUCUUAAUGCACUUUUCGGUUAACAAGUCAACAUCAAUUUCUUUUGUUGUAAAAGGGUAUGAGGAAGGUGGCUUUCUUUUCGGAGAAAGUGUUUAUAGCCUUGUGCCUCUGCAAUCGGAGAGAUUGAGGUCUGCAGCGUAGAUCCUUCGGGGUUAGAUACAUUUGUGCUAAGCUAUAGUUCUUUAUAGACAACUUGUUGACUAUAAUCAAUCCUGUAACUUACUCGCUUAUGCUAUUUUACCUACGCUUAGGAUGUUGACGAGACUGUCGAUCUC
rnacentral:rRNA from 1 species